CAUCCAUUUUUACUUUAAUACAUACAUGUAUUUUAGUAUUUUUCAGAAACAUGACAACAACUACAUAUCUCACACAGAAAUUGCACUGUCAUAGUGUUUGGGAAUAUUCAUGCAUAAUUUAAACAAUCACAUGAUAUCAGAUAAAAAAAUAAAACAUUUUAGAAGAGAACGCAACCUCACGGUUGUUUGAACCAAUGAGCAUUAAACUGUGAUGUCAGCAAGUCAUUUCCCAUCAUGCUUUUGGUCAGCGCAGCUGGGGGAGAGCAACUGCGCUCCACUGCACGACGGAUCUGGCGAGAGAUUUUUGGCAUUCGUCAGCAUAACAUCAGAGCAAGGCGGACUGCACUGGGACACAUUUCUAACUUGCAUGCAUCUUGCUGUGAUCGGUUCUGUGCAACUUUUGCUCAUCUCAAAUGAGCCUAGGGUUUAAAUAAGGCAGAGGAUUAAUGAGAUAAUUAACAAUUACAGGUGAGAGAGAUAACUAAUCCGACACAUGAGGGAAAACUAGGCCAAACAGGGAAGACUAAAACAAAGACAAGACUGUGACAGAACGCCCCCUCCCGGAAGGCCCGACCUCGCGCUGUGGAGACCAGGUGUAGAUGCAGGAGGGAGGAGCCAUGGAUGAUGCCUGGGCGGAGGAUCCUGGGGGUGCAAGCUCCUGCAAUGAGGCCGGCAGCAAUAGUGACCCAGGUGGAGCCGAUCAGACGCUGAGCCUGGACCGUGGUGGAGCCGGAGCAACUGAGGACAAAGGCGAAGACAGAGGGAAGGAGGAGUCUGACAGAGCCAGAGGGGUGGAAUGACAAGGCAAAGCCAGAGGAAUGCAAUCCCGAGGCAGCGGAUGGUCAAUGACUGACCAAGGUUGAGCAGGAUGGAGAAGGGAGCCUAGUGGAGCCGUUGGGAUGAGGGGCCAUGGUGGAGACGAGGAAGCUAGGAACCAAGGCGGAGCUGAUGGAAGGAAGCCCCGAUGUGAACCCACAUAGGCAGAUGCAGACUGAGGGUGUGCAUCUGGGAGAUGGGUAGGUGCUAGACGAAGGCUGUACAGAAGUGGUGAUGAGGUCCACAAGUGCCAACAGCAGGAUAGUCCCAGAUAGAUGAAGAUGAUCUUGAGGCUGGAUGGUAAUGGCAUAAGCUGCAGCUGGCAUAGAGUUAACAGAAAGACAGACAGGUGAUGGGACAGGAACUGAAAACCAGAUACAAGAAGGCAGAGGUGGGAUAGGGAGGCUGGGUGGGAGUUUAAGAGACUUCAAGAGAAUUCAGUGCUGGAACUAGCGAGGGAUCAAAAGGCUAAGGGUUGGACAGAACAAGCAAGAAAUCAAAACAAGCAAUACUUGACACAGACAAAGAAUAAGAAAGAGAAUUCACAGAAACCAGCUGCAGCUCACCCUCAGCAGUGGAGAUGUGGGUGUGGCUUUCCUCUUUUACCUCGUCUUCCAUGAAUACUCCAAUGUUGUGGCCGGUUCGCACACCUAGUUCACUCCAGGUGUGUGUGUGUUCACUACUGUGUGUGUGCACUUGGAAGGGUUAAAUGCAGAGCACAAAUUCCGAAUAUGGCUCACUAUAUUCGGCCACACGUCACUUCACUUUCACUUUCACUUUCAGACUUAUUGGCGGGCGUGGGCUCCGGGGCGGUGAUUGGCUCUGUUUCCUCAGGCUCUUCGAUCACACCUCCGUGUCUGAGGUGGGCUCGUGCUCACACUCGGUGAUGUGCUGGUAUGAUGGCUGGCUCAGGAGUGGGGCUGGUGAGUUCCUCAUCUAGGUAGCAGGGAGUCAGCAGCGAGUUGUUAUUUACCAGCACCCACUCCACAUAGGCGGCUAGGCUCUCUCGAGGACCGUCCCCAGACAACUUUGCCUUAACGGUGGUGUUUAGUCCCACAUGGUAGAACGUGGUGAGGCAGUUAUCCAGGUAGUGUGUUUGGUUGGCAAGGUCCAAAAAGUCUCUUGUGUGGUCCUCAAGAGAGCGCUCACCCUGCUCCAGGAGGAGGAUGAGGAGAGCAGGAUCAUCCAUCAUGCCAAAAACAACAAAAAUCACUCAAAAAAAAAAAAAAAAUAUAUAUAUAUAAUUGCCACUGUUUAUCUGUUGAUCCUGUCUUCUGUCAUGUGUAGGCCAUGUAACAAUCCAAUAAAGACAAAGAAGAAGAAGAGUUCAAUAAUAUUUAAUAUGCCAAUGAUCAGGGUACAAGCCACAUUAUCCACAAUAAACAGAUGAGACCGGACAAACACUGGAAGCAAACACAGGGUUUAAAUAAGAUGGAUGACUACACUCUUAAAAAUAAAGGUGCUUCACGAUGCCAUAGAAGAACCUUUUUGUCUAAAUGGUUCCAUAAAGAACCUUUAAGAGCUGAAGAACCUUUCUGUUUCACAAAAGGUUCUUUGUGGCAAAAGAAGGUUCUUCAGAUUAUAAAAAGGUAAGAAAGAGAUGGUUCUUUAAAGAACCUUUGACUGAAUGGUUCUUUGUGGAACCAAAAAUGGUUCUUCUAUGGCAUCGCUUGAAAAACCUUUUGAAGCACCUUUAUUUUUAAGAGUGUA
ensembl:lncRNA